CUUUCUUUCGUGCAUUCGGUAACUGAAUGGAGCGGAGCGUGUGUUUUGUGUUGAUGUUGUUAUGACUUUCUGUCUCAAAUUGCACAUGAGAAACUCGGCAGGCAAAUCUGUUGAAUGAGCAAUUUCCUACCCCUCAAAAAGGUUUGACAUAUGUCAUUCGCAACUUGUCUAACCCAGGUUUAAUUCCGCCAAUGUUCUUUGUUAUAUAAAGACGUGCUUUAACUGAA